UUUAAUUAUGAAAAUAUGGACUGCUAAUUACCUCCACUUUUCCUAUCUAAUCCGUAUAUAAGAAUAUGUAUCCAACAUCUUUCAAUAUUUUUCGAGAUUUUGGCCCCAACCUGACGAAUUGCGGAAAAUUCAAAGUAUGUAAGAAGGAUGCAAGGAUUAGACCCGUAAAACUGCAGGUUUAAAUUAAAGUCAUUUAUUUUCCCUUUUCUAUACUUCCUCGAUUUGCAGCCUUCCACAAAACAAUAUAACAUUAUUUUUAUAUAUUUAAAUUAUUGUCAAAAAUUCAAGCCACAAAUCUUGGAUAUCAAGUCAAGUUGGCUUUAGCGGUCCAUAUUUUCAUAGUCAAAGAUUUUAAGGGUACCUUAAGGGUUGGAAACUUAUCUGAUUCUAAUUGGUUGAUCCACUCCAUUACUUUUCCAAGAUUCCAUUUUCCGAAGUUUCGACUCACGGGACAGCACCCUAUAAUUAUCUUUCUUUAAAAAAAGUGUUUCUAACAACUAAUUACUAUCAGCAAUGCGUGUUUCUUGCACCACAUCUCAUACAAGGCUGUAGACAUAUAUAUCUACAGUUGAUACAAAGAGAGGCUUUAGAACAAUCAGAGCAACACCGUCUCUAUCAAUUCAUCUAAAGGCUGGAAGUCAUGAAGAUGAACGUGAGAAGAGCAACUGUGGCCAGAGCAAGAGAUAAUAGACGCCGCUGCGGAAGCCAAUGUACAGUAUGUAGUGUAGAGAUUGAAACAACGAAGCAAAUUUCUUGUCACCUCGUCGCAGGACGUUAUAAAUGCUGCGCAUUAUAAACCUCGUCCAGGAAUAUUUAUGUU